rnacentral:rRNA from 1 species
CCUACGGGAGGCAGCAGUAGGGAAUAUUGCUCAAUGGGGGCAACCCUGAAGCAGCAACGCCGCGUGGAGGAUGAAGGUUUUCGGAUUGUAAACUCCUUUUGUUAGAGAAGAUAAUGACGGUAUCUAACGAAUAAGCACCGGCUAACUCCGUGCCAGCAGCCGCGGUAAUACGGAGGGUGCAAGCGUUACUCGGAAUCACUGGGCGUAAAGGGCGCGUAGGCGGGAUAGCAAGUCAGAUGUGAAAUCCUAUGGCUUAACCAUAGAACUGCAUUUGAAACUGGUAUUCUAGAGUAUUGGAGAGGUAGGUGGAAUUCUUGGUGUAGGGGUAAAAUCCGUAGAGAUCAAGAGGAAUACUCAUUGCGAAGGCGACCUGCUAGAACAUAACUGACGCUGAGGCGCGAAAGCGUGGGGAGCAAACAGGAUUAGAUACCCUAGUAGUC